rnacentral:rRNA from 1 species
UACGUAGGGUGCAAGCGUUAAUCGGAAUUACUGGGCGUAAAGCGCGUGUAGGCGGUUAUCCAAGUCGGGUGUGAAAGCCUUGAGCUCAACUCAAGAAAUGCACUCGGUACUGGGUGACUAGAGGACCGGAGAGGAUAGUGGAAUUCCCAGUGAUAGUGGUGGAAAUACGUAGAGAUUGGGAAGAACACCAGUGGCGAAGGCGGCUACUGUGGACGGUUC